rnacentral:rRNA from 1 species
AUUGAACGCUGGCGGCAGGCCUAACACAUGCAAGUCGAACGAGUGGCGGACGGGUGAGUAAUGUCUGGGAAACUGCCCGAUGGAGGGGGAUAACUACUGGAAACGGUAGCUAAUACCGCAUACCAUCGGAUGUGCCCAGAUGGGAUUAGCUUGUAGGUGAGGUAACGGCUCACCUAGGCGACGAUCCCUCGCUGGUCUGCGAGGAUGACCAGCCAGACUGGAACGGAGACACGGUCCAGACGGCUACGGGAGGCAGAAGGGGCGAAUAUGGCACAAUGGGCGCAAGCCGGAGGGGGCAAUGCCGCGUGUAUGAAGAAGGCAUUCGGGUUGUAAAGUACUGUCAGCGGGGAGGCGGUACCCGCAGAAGAAGCACAGGCUAACUCCGUGCCAGCAGCCGCGGUAAUAC